GCCAGGGUGGCCUAAUGGAUAAGGCAUCAGCCUCUGAAGCCAGGAAUUGUGGGUUCAAGUCCCACCUGUGUCC
rnacentral:tRNA from 1 species